GCGCGCUACACUGAUGCAUUCAACGAGCCUAGCCUUGGACGAGAGUCCCGGGUAAUCUUUGAAACUGCAUCGUGAUGGGGAUAGAUUAUUGCAAUUAUUAAUCUUCAACGAGGAAUGCCUAGUAAGCGCGAGUCAUCAGCUCGCGUUGAUUACGUCCCUGCCCUUUGUACACACCGCCCGUCGCUCCUACCGAUUGGGUGUGCUGGUGAAGUGUUCGGAUUGGCGACAGUUGGCGGUUUCCGCUAGCUGUCGCUGAGAAGUUCACUGAACCCUCCCACCUAGAGGAAGGAGAAGUCGUAACAAGGUUUCCGUAGGUGAACCUGCGGAAGGAUCA
rnacentral:rRNA from 1 species